UAACACGUGAGUAACCUGCCCCUGACUCUGGGAUAAGCGUUGGAAACGACGUCUAAUACUGGAUAUGAUCACUGGCCGCAUGGUCUGGUGGUGGAAAGAUUUUUUGGUUGGGGAUGGACUCGCGGCCUAUCAGCUUGUUGGUGAGGUAAUGGCUCACCAAGGCGACGACGGGUAGCCGGCCUGAGAGGGUGACCGGCCACACUGGGACUGAGACACGGCCCAGACUCCUACGGGAGGCAGCAGUGGGGAAUAUUGCACAAUGGGCGAAAGCCUGAUGCAGCAACGCCGCGUGAGGGAUGACGGCCUUCGGGUUGUAAACCUCUUUUAGUAGGGAAGAAGCGAAAGUGACGGUACCUGCAGAAAAAGCACCGGCUAACUACGUGCCAGCAGCCGCGGUAAUACGUAGGGUGCAAGCGUUGUCCGGAAUUAUUGGGCGUAAAGAGCUCGUAGGCGGUUUGUCGCGUCUGCUGUGAAAUCCCGAGGCUCAACCUCGGGCUUGCAGUGGGUACGGGCAGACUAGAGUGCGGUAGGGGAGAUUGGAAUUCCUGGUGUAGCGGUGGAAUGCGCAGAUAUCAGGAGGAACACCGAUGGCGAAGGCAGAUCUCUGGGCCGUAACUGACGCUGAGGAGCGAAAGCAUGGGGAGCGAACAGGAUUAGAUACCCUGGUAGUCCAUGCCGUAAACGUUGGGCGCUAGAUGUAGGGACCUUUCCACGGUUUCUGUGUCGUAGCUAACGCAUUAAGCGCCCCGCCUGGGGAGUACGGCCGCAAGGCUAAAACUCAAAGGAAUUGACGGGGGCCCGCACAAGCGGCGGAGCAUGCGGAUUAAUUCGAUGCAACGCGAAGAACCUUACCAAGGCUUGACAUACACCGGAAACGGCCAGAGAUGGUCGCCCCCUUGUGGUCGGUGUACAGGUGGUGCAUGGUUGUCGUCAGCUCGUGUCGUGAGAUGUUGGGUUAAGUCCCGCAACGAGCGCAACCCUCGUUCUAUGUUGCCAGCGGGUUAUGCCGGGGACUCAUAGGAGACUGCCGGGGUCAACUCGGAGGAAGGUGGGGAUGACGUCAAAUCAUCAUGCCCCUUAUGUCUUGGGCUUCACGCAUGCUACAAUGGCCGGUACAAAGGGCUGCGAUACCGUAAGGUGGAGCGAAUCCCAAAAAGCCGGUCUCAGUUCGGAUUGAGGUCUGCAACUCGACCUCAUGAAGUCGGAGUCGCUAGUAAUCGCAGAUCAGCAACGCUGCGGUGAAUACGUUCCCGGGCCUUGUACACACCGCCCGUCAAGUCAUGAAAGUCGGUAACACCCGAAGCCGGUGGCCUAACCC
rnacentral:rRNA from 1 species